GCAAAGACAGCCGUACGAACAGAAAACACCAUACGAAGAGGGAGCAAGCCCCCUCGCAGGAACCAGAGAUCCAUGCCCUAUGCCGCUGCCACUGCCUCCUCCUCCUCCUCCACCUCCAUUCCCAAGCGAUGGCGCCCACGGCCGCGGUUUUCUCCCCCAGCCACCAUGGCUGCAGAUCCACCCACGGCCGAUCGUCUAAGUUGCAAGCAUGGAUGGAUGGAUCCAGGAAGGUAUCCUUCCUCCCUAGGUGGAGCUAGCUGCAGAUCCCGUUCGGCCCUCUAGAGUCGGCCAUCUCCGCCUCCUCCUCGCCGCCGCCGCCACCGAGGAUCACGUCUUCACCAAGCGCGAGCUCCGCCCCAUCUGACCGACCGCAAAGGGGUGAGUUUUCUUCAUCCCGAACCCUCCCGAUUUGCUUACUGCACUCUUGCCAUUCCAAUGGAGACCAACCUCCUCUGGAUGACCCCCAACUCUGCAUCUCUCUCCCAAUUACCCUCACCCCGCCAGUUUGUUGCGGGUUGUCCAUUGUAAAUUUUCAAGGAGAUUCAAAUGUUCCUCUUCUGGCCGAUUUAAGAUACUACUUGGUCCAAUUUUGCCACAAAAAAUAAUGCUAUCUUGUCAUAGAUUACACGUAUAUGCUUAUGAGAAUUUUCAUGUUUGUUAGAUUAAAAAAACUAUAUUUUCUCCUUUUAGCCAGUGGUUAAUUUAGCAGAGCGUUAGCAUAGUAUUGGUCUGAUCAGCGGGAUGAUGAUCACGAAGUCCUGUUGAUAAUCAUCAUGUUGUGAUUUUUCAGUGUCCAAUAGAACUUGUAGUGUCCUCAAAUCAGCAAAGAUAGUAGCAGUUUCUAGUAGACCUUUUAUACGGUGAUAUUGGUUAACAUAUUGAUUUGUUAAUAUUUUUUAAGUAUAAAAGCUAAUUGUAAUCUGCACAAGAGCCAAACCUGCAGAAGGUUAGAGUGCAUGCAGCAGUUUCAGAACCUAGGGAAACUUGCCUGACUGGUCUCUUUAAUAUUUAGUGAGUCUGUCCAUGCACUUUUAGUUCUACUCACCACUAAAGAUAUCUACAACUUACAUGUUGAACGCAUAGUUUAAUUCGAACAGUAACAUGGUCUAAGUCCGCAUACAAGGUUACUGUACACAGAAUCAUAUAAAGAUUAAUUUUUGGACUGUGAAACUAAAUUGGACUGCUACUUUUAAACCGUACAUCAAAAUAGUGCAAAUAGAUAGUCUGUAGAAAGCAUGGGACGUAUCUCUCCUUUUUUUGCGAUUGAUCUCCACAUUAUGUUUGGAGUCCAAGUCAAAAUUAUGCAGUUUUUGAUAGAGGAUUUGGAAAGACCGAAUCUGUUUAGUAGGUGGAUUACCCAAAAUAGUUCACUUCAUCCAACCCAACCUCACAUCACUGUGGAAAGUUUGUAGCACUUAUUUUAUAUGCAGAGCACUUGUGAACUAGGAUUUUGACCAAAAGAUUUCGAGUGUUUUGUGUGAGCUUGCAUUGCAGGGAUACUUGAAGCUAGGGCAAUCCAAGUAAGAUAGCUUCAUCCUCAGACAACAGGUUUAUGUUAUCUUAUCAUGGAGUCAUUUUUAAGUUUGUGCCCAACGCCUUCAUCCUUAGAAUGGCCACCCAGAUGGCAAGCCACCAUACUCAGGCGACUGUCGCGCUAGCUGGGUGCUCCAACUUUUGAUGCUGGCGAAGCUUUUGGAAUGAUGGCUGCAUCAUUUGUUAGUCUCCGUUGGAAGCUUAAUUAAACUGAGCUUCUCUGAAGGUUCAGAUGUGUGGCAAAGGAUUUCAAUUUUCCUGUUUACACAAAGGAAACUUGAAGAAGGUUCAGACUUCUCAUGCUCGGUGUUGUGCUCUCAAGGUUACAUAGACAAAAAAGCCUCCUAUUUACACAACGGCAACCCGACGAAGGUUCAGAUUUCUCAUGACUGGUUCAAUGGGAUGACGGGGUGGGGCGGGAGGCGGGGAAAGCCAUCCAUGGCGAUCCUGGCGGCGUUGCUAAUGGCGUCAGUGGCACUGCCGCUCCUCAUGGUGCCCGACAUGCUCUCUAUGCCAUGCUCUGACGGCAUGGAUCGCGGCGCCGCCCUGUCGCUCCCACGCCCGCGCUUCAGCAGAUCCGCGUUCGAGUCGUGCAUACCUUUAGCCACCUCCUCUCCAAUGUCCACGACUCUGAUAUACCGUGUUUGUUAGUCUUGACUGGUGUUUGUUCUCUGUUUUGUUGUGCAGGAGGCUGGAGAAGAGCAGGGAGAAAGGGGAGUCGUGUAUGGAGGUUCUGUACUUUUGUUGUAUCAACAUCUUCUCCGUUUGUCCUACAUGGCCGAGCGAGAUCGAAGCUAGCCGCCGGUAAUGUUCUUCUCCCGUGCAAGUUCUGCACUGCACUAAAGCAUCCAACACAUGGAACGGAGGGAGUAGGUGGUACAUCAACCAAGUAUGUUUCAAGGUGAGACAUCCAUCAAGUUUGUUUGGAGGCACAGGUCAAGCAUCAGAACAGUAUGUUGUACUAUUUGGUUUCAUCGGUCAAUAUGGAAAUUCAACUAGCAAGGCACUGGAACAUAGAACAACUUCAGAUGUACCUCUACCCCAUCUAGAUGACCUACAUUACCGAGGGAUUCCAGAUAUAUGUAAAGCUAUACAUGGCAAAGAUCAUGCGUACUCACUAUGACAUUGUAUAUACAUAAUGAUUAUUUUUGUCUGGUAUGGCGCUGUAAAUAAAUGAACCCGAGGCGAGUUUGAUUGUUUCGCUGGUUUUUGCAAGCAUAUUUCUAAGGCGCAGUAAAUAAAUGAUUUCUUUGGGCAAUGAUUAGAGGAAGAUCUUGUUUGAAGCAAAUAAGGGCCUUAGAAGAAAAUAAAAAAGCACAUCCAUCUCGAUAAGCAUUAUGGGAACGGACAAAGGCAAGGCAUUCCAAUAUAAGAAAUGGAUGAAGGCAAGAGCCCGGCAUGAAGGGUGGGUCCAGUAUAUAAGCAGGUGGUACUAGCACUAAGAUAGGAAGGUGAUUUCUGCCCUUGUCCUUUGUUGGUGGCUUGCCAAGGCGGCGGCGAUCACUGGUUCAAUUUGAACACGAGUUAGUGGAUUUUGUUAUAAGAGUGAGGUUUAAGAGUGGGUGGGAUAGUUGUUUGGGUUGAUCUGUUCAG